CUUCAACGACCCCAGCAGAAGGGGCCGUUCACCAGGCCGCUCCUGCCCGUAGGUCGCCAAGAUCGCCUGCGCCUC
rnacentral:antisense_RNA from 1 species